rnacentral:misc_RNA from 1 species
UGCUGAAUCUAUUGCAACCUGCACAGCAAGAGAAAUUCAUAAUUAAAGCUACUUCUUCUCCAGGCAGGAAAAAGCACCAUGGUUGGUUAAGCCAUACACUAUGUUCACACAUAGGCAAGCAUACCACAUAAAAUAAGCACUGCUACUACGUGUACUUGCUUAAUAUCCCUAUCACACAACACAAAUAUAAAAUUCAUGUAAUUCAAAGAACAUAGAAUGCUGUUUUUUUUUUCCGUGGGGGUGGUGGGGAGGGGAAGGGGAAGGGAAGGGGGCAGACAGUGGACAUAGACAGAGACAGAGGGCUACAAAGAAACAUUAUAAAUCUGAAUGAUAUAUUAAAAUAAAAUAAAAAAAACCUUUGGAAAAAGGAGUGUAUUCUGCAUGCAUCUUUCUUAUGGUGCACAGCGAACAAGAACCUCCAAAGAACAAUUAACUAUUAAUAUCUGAGAUAGAUAAAGUUCUAUGUAAUACCUGAUGUCCACAAAUCUCAUGA